CCUACGGGAGGCAGCAGUGGGGAAUAUUGCACAAUGGGCGCAAGCCUGAUGCAGCGACGCCGCGUGCGGGAUGGAGGCCUUCGGGUUGUAAACCGCUUUUGUUCAAGGGCAAGGCACGGUCUUUGGCCGCGUUGAGUGGAUUGUUCGAAUAAGCACCGGCUAACUACGCGCCAGCAGCCGCGGUAAUACGUAGGGUGCAAGCGUUAUCCGGAUUUAUUUGGCGUAAGGGGCUCGUAGGCGGUUCGUCGCGUCCGGUGUGAAAGUGCAUCGCUUAACGGUGGAUCCGCGCCGGGUACGGGCGGGCUUGAGUGCGGUAGGGGAGACUGGAAUUCCCGGUGUAACGGUGGAAUGUGUAGAUAUCGGGAAGAACACCAAUGGCGAAGGCAGGUCUCUGGGCCGUUACUGACGCUGAGGAGCGAAAGCGUGGGGAGCGAACAGGAUUAGAUACCCUAGUAGUC
rnacentral:rRNA from 1 species